rnacentral:rRNA from 1 species
GAUGAACGCUGACAGAAUGCUUAACACAUGCAAGUCGAUGGGGAAGUGGUGCUUGCACCAUGGCAACCAUGGCGGACGGGUGAGUAACGCGUAAGGAACUUGCCUGCGGGACUGGGAUAACAGCAGGAAACUGCUGAUAAUACCGGAUAAGGUCAUUAAGCUGCAUAGCUUAGUGAUGAAAGGAGACGCCUGCGGAGAGCCUUGCGUCCUAUUAGCUAGUUGGAGGGGUAACGGCCCACCAAGGCGAAGAUAGGUAGCCGGCCUGAGAGGGUGGACGGCCACAAGGGGACUGAGAUACGGCCCUUACUCCUACGGGAGGCAGCAGUGGGGAAUAUUGGACAAUGGGGGCAACCCUGAUCCAGCAAUUCUGUGUGCACGAAGACGGUUUUCGGAUUGUAAAGUGCUUUCAGCAGGGAAGAAGGAAGUGACGGUACCUGCAGAAGAAGCGACGGCUAAAUACGUG